UACGAAGGGGGCUAGCGUUGCUCGGAAUCACUGGGCGUAAAGCGCACGUAGGCGGAUUGUUAAGUCAGGGGUGAAAUCCUGGAGCUCAACUCCAGAACUGCCUUUGAUACUGGCGAUCUCGAGUCCGGGAGAGGUGAGUGGAACUGCGAGUGUAGAGGUGAAAUUCGUAGAUAUUCGCAAGACACCAAUGGCGAAGGCGGCUCACUGGACUGUA
rnacentral:rRNA from 1 species